GUCAUUCUUCUCUUGUCUGCCAUCAUGUGAGACAUGCCUUUCACCUUCCGCUGUGAUUGUGAGAUCUCCCCAGCCACGUGGAACUUUGGAAGAAGGAUUCACAGAUAAGGAAACAGUGAUUGUAAGAAAGAAAAAAAUUUUCAUUAAGAAUUACCUCUUUUCUGCCGGGCGCAGUGGCUCACGCCUGUAAUCCUAGCACUUUGGGAGGCUGAGGCAGGCGGAUCAUGAGGAGAACAGGCAAGGGCGCAGGUUUUCGAGAAUGUGUCACUAAGGGCCACUAAAUCCGACCUUCCUUGGUCCUCCUUGUGGUCUAGGAGGAAAACUAGUGUUUCUGCUGCUGCGUUGGUGAGUGCAACUAUUCCUAUCAGCAGGGUCCAGGGACCAUUGUGGGUUCUUGUGCAAGAGGUGUUUCUGCUGCUGUGUCGAUGGGAAACACUCAGGCAACAACAGGCUCACUUUGAAAUGCAUCCUAAGCCAUUGGGACCAGUUUGACCCACAAACCCUGAAAAAGUGGCGGCUCAUUUUUUUCUACACUAUGGCUUGGCUCCAAUAUUCUCUCUCUGAUGGGGAAAAAUGGCCGCCUGAGGGAAGUAUAAAUUACAAUAUUAUCCUGCAGCUUGACAUUUUCUGAAAGAGGGAAGGCAAAUGGAGCAAAAUACCUUAUGUCCAAGCUUUCUUUUCAUUGAAGGAGAAUCCACAACUAUGCAAAGCUUGCAAUUUACAUCCCACAAGAGGACCUCUCAGCUUACCCCAAUAUCCUAGCCUCCCUGUAGCUCCCUUUCCUAUUAAUGAUAAGCCUUCUCUAAUCUCCCCACCCCGAAGGAAACAAGCAAAGAAAUCUCCAAGGGACCACAACCCCCCUGGGCUAUCGGUUAUGUCCCCUUCAAGCUGUAGGGGAAGGGGAAUUUGGCCCACCUGGGUAUAUGUCCCCUUCUCCCUCUCUGAUUUAAAGAAGAUCAAGGCAGACCUGGGGAAGCUUUCAGAUAAUCCUGAUAGGUAUAUAGAUGUCCUACAGGGUCUAGGGCAAACCUUUGAUCUCACUUGGAGAGAUGUCAUGCUAUUGUUAGAUCAAACCCUGGCCUUUAAUGAAAAAAAUGUGGCUUUAGCUGUAGCCCAAGAAUUUGGAGAUACUUGGUAUCUUAGUCAAGUAAAUGACAGAAUGACAGCUGAAGAAAGGGACAAAUUCCUUACUGGUCAGCAAGCAGUCCCCAGUAUGGAUCCCCACUGCAACCUCAACUCAGAUCAUUGGGACUGGAGUCGUAAACAUCUGUUGACCUGUGUUCUAGAAGGACUAAGGAGAAUUAGGGAAAAGCCCAUGAAUUAUUUAAUGAUGUCCACCAUAACUCAGGGAAGGGAAGAAAAUCAUUCUGCCUUCCUUGAGCUGCUAUGGGAGGCCUUAAGAAAAUAUACUCCCCUGUCUCCCAACUCACUCGAGGGUCAAUUAAUCCUAAAAGAUAAGUUUAUUACCCAGUGAGCCACAGGAAUCAGGAGAAAGCUCCAGAAGUGAGCCCUGGGCCCUGAACAAAAUCUGGAGGCAUUAUUAAACCUGGCAACCUCGGUGUUCUAUAAUAGGGACCAAGAGGAAAAUGCCGAAAAGGAAAAGUGAGAUCAGAGAAAGGCCGCAGCCUUAGUCAUGGCCCUCAGACAAACAAACCUUGGUGGUUCAGAGAGGACAGAAAAUGGAGCAGGCCAAUCACCCAGUAAGGCUUGCUAUCAGUGUGGUUUACAAGGACACUUUAAAAAAGAUUAUCUAAUGAGAAACAAGCCACCCCCUUGCCCAUGUCCACUAUGUCAAGGCAAUCACUGGAAGGUGCACUGCCCCAGAGUGCAAAGGUUCUCUAGGCCAGAAGCCCCCAACCAGAUGAUCCAACCACAGGAUUGAGGGUGCCCAGGGCAAGCGCCAGCUCCUGUCAUCACCCUCACUGAGCCCUGGGUACAUUUAACCAUCGAGGGCCAGGAAAUUGACUUCCUCCUGGACACUGGUGUGGCCUUCUCAGUGUUAAUCUCCUGUCCUGGAUGACUGUCCUCAAGGUCCAUUAUCAUCUGACGAAUCCUGGGGUCACCUGUAAUAACCACCUCCUCAGUUAUAAUUGGGAGACUUUGCUACAGAUACUAAGUAUCCUUAUCUAAUCCUACAUGCCCAUGCUGCAAUAUGGAAAGAAAGGGAGUUCCUAACCUCUGGGGGAACCCCCAUUAAAUAUCACAAGGAAACCAUGGAGUUAUUGCACGCAGUGCAAAAACCCAAGGAGGUGGCAGUCUUACACUGCCGAAGCCACCAGAAGGGAAGGAGAGGGGAGAACCACAGCAUAAACAGCUGGCAGAGGAAGGGAAAGACCGGCAGAAAGGAAAGAGAGAAAGAGACAGAAAGUGUGAGAGAGAGAGAGAGGAAGUGACAGAAACAAAGAGGGAGUCAGAAAGAAAAGAGAGAAGAGAGAAAGGGGGGAAAGACAGAAAGAGAGAGACAGAGGAAGAGACAGAGAGACAGAAAGUCAAAGAGAGAAGGAAAGAGAGGAAGAGACAAAGAAGGAGUCAGAGAGAAAGAGAUAGAAGUAGUAAAGAAAAAACAGUGUGCCCUAUUCCUUUAAAAGCCAGGGUAAAUUUAAAACCUAUGAUUGAUAAUUGAAGGUCUUCUCCAUAACCCUAAAACACUCCAAUACCACCCUGUUGUCAGUGUAAACAAGGGCAUAGCCCGAAAGCACUGAGGCCACUGACAACCUGUAGCCUUUUUAUCAAAAAUCCUUAACCCGGCCAGGUGCGGUGGCUCCUGCCUGUAAUCCCAGCACUUUGGGAGGCUGAGGCGGGCAGAUCAUGAGGUCACAAGAUUGAGGCCAUCCUGGCUAACACAGUGAAAACCCGUCUCUACUAAAAAUACAAAAAAAUUAGCUGGGUGUGGUGGUGGGUGCCUGUAGUCCCAGCUACUUGGGAGGCUGAGGCAGGAGAAUGGUGUGAACCUGGGAGGUGGAGCUUGCAGUGAGCUGAGAUAGCGCCACUGCACUCCAGCCUGGGCAACAGAGCAAGACUCCGUCUCAAAAAACAAACAAACAAACAAACAAAAUCCUUAACCCAGCAGGUUUCCUAACGGGGAUCUAAAUCUUAACUAAUUAACAUACAAAGGUCCAACCAGAUCUAGGAGGAACUCCCUUCAGGACGGGAUGAUAGAUGGUUCCUCCCAGGUGAUUAAGGAUAAAGACACAAUGGGUAUUCAGUAAGUCAUAAGGGAACUCUUGUAGAACCAGAGUUAGGAAAAUUGCCUAAUAAUUGGUCUGCUCAAAAGGAGCCAUCUAUACCAAUUCUAAGUUAAUAUGGACUCAAUGAGGUCUUAUUAAUAGCAAAGAAUAAUUGAAAUCCCAAACUUACAAAGUUUUCCACAAAAGUAAAGUUUGCUAAAAGUUAACAGUGUAACAUAUAUUAUCCUAACUUCUGAUCUUGUAGAAAUCAGACCCUAUCUGUGCCCCUCGAAGCUCAAGUCCAUCAGCACAGGGCCAUACAGCUAAUACCCCUACUUAUAGGGUUAGGAAUGGCUAGUGCUACAGAAACCGGAAUAGCAGGUUUAUCUACUUCGUUAUCCUACUACCACGACUCUCAAAGGAUUUCUCAGACAGCUUGGGAGAAAUAGCAAAAUCUAUGCUUACUCUACAAUCCCAAAUGGACUCUUUGGCAGCAGUGACUCUCCAAAACCGAUGAGGCCUAGCCCUCCUCACUGCUGAGAAAGGAGGACUCUGCACCUUCUUAGGGGAAGAGUGUUGCUUUUAUACUAACCAGUCCAAGAUAGUACGAGAUGCCACCUGGCAUUUACAGGAAAAGUCUUCUGAAAUCAGACAAUGCCUUUCAAAUUCUUAUACCAAUCUCUGGAGUUGGGUGAUAUGGCCUCUUCCCUUUCCAUGUCCUGUGACAGUCAUCUAACUAUUACUCACCUUUGGGUCCUGUAUUUUUAACCUCCUUGUCAAAUUUGUUUCCUCUAGGAUUGAGGCCAUCAAGCUACAGAUGGUCUUACAAAUGGAACCCCAAAUGAGCUCAACUAACAACUUCUACUGAGGACCCCUGGACCGACCCACUGGCCCUUUCACUGGCCUAAAGAGGACACUACAACUGCAGGGCCCCUUCUUCACCCCUAUCCAUCAGGAAGUAGCUAGAAUGGUCAUCACCCAAUUCCCAGCAGCAGUUGGGGUGUCCUGUUCAGAGGGGGGAUUGAGAGGUGAAUCCAGCUGGACUUCUGGGUCGAGUGGGGACUUAGAGAACUUUUCUGUCUAGCUAAAGGAUUGUAAAUUCACCAAUCAGCAAUCUGUAAAAACGCACCAAUCAGCACUCUGUGUCUAGCUCAAGGAUUGUAAACACACCAAUCAGCACUCUGUAAAAUAGACCAGUCAGCACUCUGUAAAAUGGACCAAUCAGCAGGACAUGGGCAGGGCCAAAUAAGGGAAUAAAAGCUGGCCACCCGAGCCAGCAGUGGCAACCCACUUGGGUCCCCUUCCAUGCUGUGGAAGCCUUUGUUCUUUCACUCUUCACAAUAAAUAUUGCUGCUGCUCACUCUUUGGGUCUGCACUACCUUUAUGGGCUGUAACACUCACUGCAAGGGUCUGCAGCUUCAUUCUUGAUGUCAGUGAGACCUAGAACCCACCAGAAGGAAUAAAUUCUGGACACACUUUCACCCAGUUUUUCCAAAUGUUUAUAUCUUAAGUAGCUCUAGCACACUAGCAAAACCAGGAAACUGACUUUGGUAUAAUAUGUGUCCAUAGUUCUAUGCCUUGUCUUAUCAUUUUUUCAGAUUUAUGUAACCACCACACAAUCCAGUGGAGAGCUAUUCCAUCCCACAGAGAUCUCCCCUCAUGCUGCCCUUUAGAGUCACACCCUACUCCCUACACAUCAUCACCCUGACAACUGACAACCACUAAUCUCUUCUCCACCAAUCUCUAUAAUAGCGUCAUUUUGAAAAUGUUACAUAAAUAGAAUCACACAGUAUGUGACUUUUGUGACUGGCAUUUUCCCCUCAGCAUGAUGUCCUUGAGAUCCAUCCAAGAUGUUGCACGUAUCAACAAUUUGCUCUUUUUUAUUGCUAAGGAAUACUCUAUCAGAUGGAGGCACUGCAGUUUAACUAUUUCCCUGUUGAGGGACAUUUUGGCUGUUUCUAUUUUGGGGCUAUUACAAAUAAAGCUGUUGUGAACAUUUGUGUAA